AGGCCUUUCGGGGUACACGAGCGGCGAACGGGUGAGUAACACGUGGGUGAUCUGCCCUGCACUUCGGGAUAAGCCUGGGAAACUGGGUCUAAUACCGGAUAUGACCUCCUAUCGCAUGGUGGGUGGUGGAAAGAUUUAUCGGUGCAGGAUGGGCCCGCGGCCUAUCAGCUUGUUGGUGGGGUAAUGGCCUACCAAGGCGACGACGGGUAGCCGACCUGAGAGGGUGACCGGCCACACUGGGACUGAGACACGGCCCAGACUCCUACGGGAGGCAGCAGUGGGGAAUAUUGCACAAUGGGCGAAAGCCUGAUGCAGCGACGCCGCGUGAGGGAUGACGGCCUUCGGGUUGUAAACCUCUUUCAGCAGGGACGAAGCGCAAGUGACGGUACCUGCAGAAGAAGCACCGGCUAACUACGUGCCAGCAGCCGCGGUAAUACGUAGGGUGCAAGCGUUGUCCGGAAUUACUGGGCGUAAAGAGUUCGUAGGCGGUUUGUCGCGUCGUUUGUGAAAACCAGCAGCUCAACUGCUGGCUUGCAGGC
rnacentral:rRNA from 1 species